UAUGCAUGUGUCUGUAUGUGUGUGUCUGUAUGUGUCUGUCUCUGUAUGUAUGUGUCUGUAUGAUACAAACAUACAUACAGAGACACACACACAUACAGACACAUACAUACACACAGA